UGGGUAACCUGCCCAAGAGAUCGGGAUAACACCUGGAAACAGAUGCUAAUACCGGAUAACAACAGAUGAUGCCUAUCAACUGUUUAAAAGAUGGUUCUGCUAUCACUCUUGGAUGGACCUGCGGUGCAUUAGCUAGUUGGUAGGGUAACGGCCUACCAAGGCGAUGAUGCAUAGCCGAGUUGAGAGACUGAUCGGCCACAUUGGGACUGAGACACGGCCCAAACUCCUACGGGAGGCAGAGUC
rnacentral:rRNA from 1 species